AUCAAUCCAUGAUUAAUAUUGAUUACAUUUUCUCAACUCAAAACUUGCUGAUUAUUAAAUAAAUCAGAGAAUCUUGCAACUUAACAUUUCAUUGAUUCCCUUUAAUACACAUAUAAUCAAGAAUUAACUUCAUUUUCAAUUCUUGAAUAGCUUUUCAGUCCACCCAAUAACUAGGCAAGUAAAAUGAGAGCUAGCAAAUUUAAUAUUGAAAUCAGAAAAUGUUUUCUCACAAAUAGUUCAGGAAAUCAAAACCGUUUCUGAAAAAGCUGGUGGAGAAUUUUAAGGCUGUUACAGAUAACCUUUUGUUUCUUUGGUUUAUCAAGGAAAAAGAUGUAAUGGGAAUUACAUGGGGUUGAAUGGAGAUUAUGUUGUGAUCCAAUGAAAUGUCCCAGCAAGCUCAAGCUGAUGGAAAUCUGAUAUUUCUAAGAUGGAAAAGUAUGCUGCAAGCAAGAUCUAUUCCAAAUGGGAAAAUAGUUUGGUAGCUUGGAAUGGUUUCACAGCUUUUUUUUUUUGGCUAUUUUCUUCCAUUGCACCAAAGUCCAACCCACAUCUCAACUUUCUAUAAAAAAUGCGAAGUCAGAAAAGGAACUGCACUUAAAAUAAUCCGUGCUUAAACACCACUAUGUUGGCUCUUGGGAAACAAAGCAUAUCAAUUGCAGCUUAUCUGCUCCAAUUUAUGCUCCUUAGCAAUGUUCCUUCUAUCAAAAAUACUGACUCAGGUUGAACUAUGGUUUUAGUGAUUGCCCCAUGACCGUAGAGAAAUAUAUUUAUGCAUUGACAAAAUCACAGUGUUCUCACAGCAUGCCCUUUCAUGCGGCCAGAUCCUCUCAUCAUCUGUUUUAAUGUGUUCCUUUCAUAGUGAUGUGAUGACGCUUAAUGAUACAGUAAUGGAACUCCAUUUUGAAACUGGGCAUAAUAUAUGCUGUACAUCCUCAUGCACGUGUACCAUUAAACAGAGAAAAUCUUAAAUGCAAUAGAUACUACAGAUGCUGAAAACCACAGCAAAACAAACAAAAUGCUGGAGGAACUCAGCAGGUCGGGCAGCAUCUAUGGAAAUGGAAGUUGACGUUUCGGGCUGACACCUUUCAUCAGAUCGGGAAAGGAAGGAGGAGGAUAACAGUAUAAGAAGGUGGGAGGAGGGGAAGGAGGACAAUCUAGAAGGUCGUCCAUUGAGAUUGCUUCUCUCAUUUCCAUGCCAGAUGUGCUACAUUUGGAUUGUAUUGAUGCAUGCACUUCACCACGAACAUUUGUUUCCAUGGAAAGCCAUCUGACGAUCACAGGUCAAAGAUGAACUCUUUCUUGAUCCACAAUAAAGCCCAGAAGGAUGCUUCAGAAGACAUGGCCUGAGAGUUUAUUUGCAUUUAGAAUGAGUGCUCAGGGGUCUGAGUAGGGAAGGUAAAGAGGAGAUUUUUGGAGAAUACACUGAAAAUAAUAUUACUUUACCAUCUACCAGUACCAUACAUUAAUUGUGGGCAAAUAUUCCCAAAUCAGUCUAACUUCUGCUAGACCAGGGGUAGGCAACCUACGACCCACGGGCCAGAUUUGCCCCUCGAAGGUAUUUUCAAUGGCCCGCGAGCAAGUAUUGAGAUAUUAUGCUUAUCCGGCCCGUGAGCGAUUUUUCUUUAUUCUGAGUGUUUCACGCAACCACACUGAUGGACAUGCAUGGUGCCUUGUUACACUGGCCCCAGGUUCCGUUUUGUUCCAAACCAAACACUGGUAUAUACGAAGGACGGGAAGGCAGACUACCUUAUUAAUAUGUAUUAGAUAGUCUUCGUGCACGCGCAGGUUUUCAGAUGGGAUCAUUCAAAUUUGUAAACAGAAACAGCGCCACUGUGUUUUAACAAGAAAUCCACGCUAAAUAUCCGGGUAUUUACAUGUGCUACGAUACUUGUUGAAUAACUCGCGUUUUGAAAUAAUAUUGAAGAAAAAAAUUCCAGUGGCAAUGAACGCAAAACACAGGAAGGUGGACACUGAGUGCCGAAAUUUCCAAGAUGCUUGGACACUAGAUUACUUCUUCAUCGAGCAAGCUGGGAAACCAGUUUGUCUCAUUUGCCUAGAAAAUGUUGCUGUGAAGAAGGUGGCAAAUAUCAGGCAACAUUACGAGACCCGAGAGUUGAAAGAAAGUUGCAAUUGUGGGAGUACCAGCUUCAAAAAGGAAAUUGUGCACAUUUUCCCACUUUUCAAAAAAGAAAAGCACAAGAUCCAGGCAUUUUUGUGAAUAUGGUCCAAGAAUUGAGAAAAGUUUUCAUCUUGUUUUGCUGAUUUUUGCUUGCAUGUAAAUGAGUUCAAGCUGUUCGCUACUCCAUUUGAUAUGGAAGUGGACACUGCAUUGGAAAUUUUUCAAAUGGAAUUGAUUGAGAUGCAGUGUGAUGACAUAUUGAGAUCGAAAUUUCAUUCUGAAGAUGUGUCAGUGCUUGACUUCUAUAGAAAAUAUAUUCAUCCAAGUGGGAAGUAUCCUAACUUAGUGGACCAUGCAAAAAAAAUGGCAUCAUUGUUUGGCAGCACUUAUCUGUGUGAACAAUUAUUUCCAAAAAUGAAGCACACCAAGAACCAUUUGAAACAAGAUUGACUAAUGCUCAUCUGGAUAAUGUCUUGCUCUUGGCAACAAGUCUGAAUCCAAUAUUGAGAAGCCUUCAAGCAACAAACAGCAUCAAGUUUCACAUUGAUUUAUCGACUGUUUGCAUUAAAAUUUUCUUUUUUAUUAAACUUAAUUUACCACCAUUCAAUGCAUCAUGUUCAUAUGACUUAUGUUUAAAGAUUCUUUGUGUCCUUUUAAUAGAUUCAAAAGAUGCCUUGACUGCAAUAAAUUGCAACUAAACUGAGUUCUUUGAUUACUAAUUGGCAUCCUUGGUUAAGCACAAAUGAUUUUCUAGCAUGUGUUAUUCAUUAAUUUGAGGCAAAACAUAACUAGAUGUAUUUAAAUAGAUAAUUCCCAUAUUUCAAGUUUUUUAUGGCAUUUAUCUGGCCCACCGUCUGCUCAUUAGUACGCGAUCCGGCCCACAGAGGCAAAAAGGUUGCCGACUCCUGUGCUAGACAGUUAUCAUUCUCGGUAGAAAGAUCAAAGUUCAAAGUAAAUUUAUUAUCAAAGUAUAUAUAUGUCACCCUGAGGUUCAUUUUAUUGCAGGCAUUCACAGUAGAACAAAGAAAUACAACAAAAUCAAUGAAAAACUACAGACAAAGACUGACAAACAACCAAUGUGCAAAAGAAGUCAGACUGUGCAAAUACAAAAAAAAAUACAGUAGGUGAAUAAAUAAUACUGAGAACAUGAGUUGUAGAGUCCUUAAAGUAAGUCUAUAGCUUGUGGAAUAAGUUCAGUAUUGAGGUGAGUGAAGUUAUCCACACUGGUUCAGAGUUUACAGGCUGAAGGAUAGUUAUAGUUGGGAGCUGAAUAUCCAAUAUCACAGGAUAGGAAGGUAGGCAGAGGGGUUGGUGUGUUUCUACUGGUAAAAAUUGGCAUCAAAUCAGUAGAAAGAUGUGAUAUAUGAUCAGGAGAUUUUGAAUACUUGUGGGUUGAUUUAAGAAACUGCAAAGGUAAAGGGACCCUGAUGACAAUUAUAUACAGGUCUCCCAACAGUAGCUAGGAUGUGGACUACAAAUGAUAAUGGGAAAUAGAAAAGGCGUGUCAAAGGGCAAUGUUAUGAUAGUCUUCAAAUAUUUUAACAUGCAGGUAGAUUGGGAAAAUCAGGUUGGUAAUAGAUCUCAAGAGAGUAAGUUUGUUGAAUGCCUACGAGACGGCUUUUUUGAGCAGUUUGUCAUUGAGCCUACUAGGGAAUCUGCUGUACUGGUUUGGGUGUUAUGUAAUGAACUGGAGGUGAAUAGGGAGCUACUUAAGGCAGAGCUUGAUAGGAUCUUGAUUGGACAUGGCAUCAAAGGUUACAGGGAGAAGGCCGGGGAGUGGGGCUGAGGAGGGGGAAACUAGGAUCAGCCAUGAUUGAAUGGCAGAGCAGACUUGAUGGGCCAAAUGGCCUACUUCUGCUCCUAUGUCUUAUGGUCUUAUGGUUGAAGGGUAAUAACGUUUAUGAAUCAUCAUUAUAGCUUGUCACACCAGACAGCCAGCCACCCUAGUGUUGUUUAGCUGAUGUUGAGCAGGUCAUUGUCAGCUAUAUCAGGUGAGACUGGGCAGUUGUGCAGAAUGUGUUCAAUGUUCUGCAACCCUUUCGCCACACUCACAGGAUUUGCUAGACCUUUAUGAAUUGAUCAAAUUGACUGAACGCUGUUUCUCACAAAUAGUGACCUACAUUUUUUCCCUUCUCCUACACACAGUGAUUAGAAAAUUAUUUUGUGAUAAAUUAAAAUUGAACUAUAUAUGAUUCUGCACAUGGUUAUUUUAUUAUACUUUAAUCAGACUAUGUGAAUAUAAUUUUGGAAGCAUACACUACUGAAGGAAAAUUACAUUAUUAUAAAUGUUGAAUAUGAGAUGAGAUAUUAAAUCAAGCCACAACCUAUUCUCUCAAAUGCCUGUGAAAGAUUUCAUGUCACUGUUUUAAAAUGGAGCAGGAGAGUUUCCCCUCAUGACCUUGUCAUCAUUUAUCUUUCAUUAAUA